AUUUUAGAUCCAACAAAGAAGAUAAGAUGAUUUAACUCUUAAAGAGUGCACACACAUGUAUACAUGGAUGAACCUUUGAUUUUUGUUUUUGUCAUUAGGGAUUGGAAAGCUAGAAAUCUCUCGGGACCUAGAAAGCAUUUGGAGAGAUCUGGAUCCUGUCAAUUACUUAUGCUGUCUUUGUCUACAGAGGAACCAAGGGAAACUGACUUCUCUUCUCUGGCUUCACGGAGGGUUAAGGUUUGGUCAUCACCAACUCUGUGAUUAUGGCUCCAGAAUCCUCCUCCAGACUUAGGAUUUGGGCAAAAUCUCUGCCAAUUAGUGCUGAUACUCUCUCCUUUCUUUCUGCUUCCAGAAAAAUGGAUGGAUAUUAUAUGCGCUCUAAAGGAUUAUGUUAACUAUUUUCUGAUAAAAAUUCCCUAACCCAUCUGCUUUACUUUCUAAGUUUUAGUCAGAUUUAUUUAAUAUUCUUUAUUCAUGUGUGCUGCAUGUGGAAGAACCUGCCUUGAUAUAUAUAUAUAUUUACUACAUGAAUGCGAGAACUCUUGAAAACCAAAGAGCAUCUCCUGAGAUAGUUACAGGUAGUUGUGAGCUGCCACAACAGAGCUGGGAACUGAACCAAAUCCUCUGUGGCAGCAAUAGGUGUUCUUAACCGCAGCACCAUCUUUCCAGCCUAUGUGCCUACUCUAAAUUUGACAAGGUUUGCUCCUAUUCAAUAGAAUUAGGCACGGAAGACGUGCUUCCCAUGAAUUACUGAUGACAGAAAAGUUACUGUGGUGUAGCAAAUGCAAUUGCUGUUGUGCUGACUUUUUUGGAUUCUUCCUGAGAAUCCAUUCCCUUUCUUCUCUGCCCAGCUCUGUGCUGACAGCUGUACCUCUCCAGUGUUCCUCUGGCAGAUGGCUUCAUCAGUGGGGAGUUCAGGAGACACAGAGAGCACGCAUGAUAGUUCUUCCUAUACUUUGUUUUGUCUUAGUGCCAGGAGUCUGAGUUGUGUCCUUCCAGGUUUACAAUUCUCUUCAAAGGACUCUUCCUCCAGGUCUGCAGCUAUUCAUGAGGCAAUGAUGCACUUGCACCCUGUGGGCUUGAAAAGACUGGACUUCCUGUUGUCCUCCAGCCCUUACUUUACAGGUUUAAAAAAGUAUAGCUAAAAAGUAACAAAUAAUAUCCUGGCUCAUUUUAAAGAAGAUGAAUCUAACAAGAAUACCAGGAUGGUUUCAGAUGAAGUAUCAGUGUGACCGACAGGCGUGGGAUCUCUGUGAAUGUUAAGCUGCUGGCAAUGCCACCUGUCAAUAUGCCCACCCACGGCCAUCUCUUGUGCACUAAACAUCACUUCCAAGCAGAGUCUAUGUCAGAAACAGCUCCCUGCUUCCCCUGCUAGAGAACACAUAAGAAGACCAAGUUGUCCAUUGGGUGUAUAUGUCAGGGGGCCUAAAUCCAGUCCAUGAAUGAUCCUUGGUUGGUGCUUCAAUCUCGAAAUGUAUGUGCAGCCAAGAACACUGUGUGGUUAUUGGAUUUCACUUUCAACUUCAAGUGCUGCCCACUGCUGUGAGAGACAUUAAUAUUAAGUUCUAAAACAAAGGUCUGAGCUGGAAAGACAUUUGAUAGGAUGCACCACAAAGGUGGUAAAUCAUGUGAGUACAAAGCCCUGAUUAGAGAUCAUGUUUACAAAGAGAAUCAGGCAAGAUGGGAAGCAGCAUUCUCCACCAGAAAAGAAUGGUGUUUUAAAGGAAAAGCAUUGCUCCCAAUACAAAGAAGUGGCCCCUGAGUCAUCUCUUGCACUGAGUCCCAGGAUCUGAAAAGCACCCUUGGAAAUCAUCUGUGACUAUGGCAUGGGCAAUUAGCAAUGUAAGAUAUGCUCUUCAUGCAUUCAAGCUACUACAAUCCAAUACUAUAUACCCAGGCGAUACAGGGAUGGCAAGAAUAACAAUGGUUUAAACAAGUGACUAAUUCCAUAAGACAUUCUACUCACUGAGACUGUUCUCAUGUCCAGCCUCAAACUUCAUGAGAGACUUGGAUUUUAUCAUCUUCUGGUCAAUUUGAUUCCAUACUGUUUCUGCAAGCUGAGACUCUUGACAUGCUCUGUAACUCUAGUAUUGCAGAAUACAAUUUUCAUUUUGAUACAUCGCUCUGUAACUGGUCUGGUGGAAAGGUAUUCUAAAGAGACACCUUUAUCUCUCAAUCUGACUGUCAGACCAUUGAAACAAUAGACUCUAAAGAAAUGGGGAUUUCCCCAGGAAUGUCAUGCUGGGAGAAGGGAAAGAGCCAGCCAGAGGAGGGACUAGUCUCUAGGAGCGAUUUCACACAGUUCUAACAACUGAGACUGUGGCUUAGACAGCGAGAGGACAGUGGUGGGCAGGACCGGGGCUGUUCAGAUGUGUAUGCUUCUCCUGUUUUUAAAUGUUAAUCUUACUUCAGGGGCAGGAAGAUGGACUUGAGGGCUUCCCUGGAUUUCUUGUCCUUCUUCCCAGAGCCACCACAUUAAAGAAAUUUUUCUGCUUUCCACUAUCAAUAAGCCUCUUUUAACUGCGUGAUUGAAGACUGUUGGCUGAACCUGAACCCACCCCAGUUUGAUAACUAUUGAUGUCGGCCUCUAAGCCAAUAAUUACUUACUGACCAGAUGUUCAACCAAACAAAACCUAAAGAGAAAUGAAAGAAAACCAUUCUUUUAGUAUCAGUAAGUAGGUGAGGUGGCUUCACGUAACAGCAGAGCAGCCUUCCGUGAGGGUUUGCAUACACGUUUGUAACACAUUCCCUCUAAGGUCUUUAUUUUGUGUGUUAACAUGAAAACUUAAUUCCUGCAUAUAAACAUAACCCAUUUUACUUACAAAUGGUGGCAUUUAACAGGUCUCUGCUGCUAUCAGAGAGAUAUCACCAAACAUUUUGGGACACUGAGAAAACAAAAUGGGAGUAAAACUAGGGGUGGGGAAGGUAAAGGCCACAAAACAAGUGAAAUAACUAGUGCUGCUCCCAAAGAAAGUGGACAUCCCUUGCUUCUCACUGUACUGAGGAAGACAGGACCGCCACUAACAACAUUCACCCAGAGGGCACGCAAAGGUGUCCAUCAGCGCGCCAGUCACGGCUUCCCCAGCACACCAGAGCUGUGGAACAGCUCAGCAGAUAGUACUCUUCGCUGCCACACCCUUUUCAGAGUCUUGGAACUGGAAAACUAAAUAGGAACUCAAAAUGAAUUGCUUUCUUUGUUACAGAUUAAAAGCAUACGAGAGUUAAUCACUCCGGGAUAGCUGAGUCCCAGAGGCAAGAACACAGAUGAUCUCAGAGGAAUCUGCUUUGCCCUUAUGGUUCUGUGAUGGUGGAUUCUGUAAAAGGGAUAAACAAUAGAAACUACUGAAUAUUCAUGAGUGGAAUUUAUUGUAAUGUUGAAAGUGAACUUUAAUUUCCUUAAGAGAAAUAUCUGAAUGGUGGUUGGUAGCCAAAAGAGCAAAAAAUAGAGGUUGUAUUAUAGAUUUUAUACUUAUUAUGAAAUAAGGAGUAAGAAGUGCGAGGAUGAAUGACUAAUUCUGAGUAUGGAAAAAUGUUAUAAUGGUGUUCCUAUGGGGACAAUUGGGAUCAAAUAAGCCGAAUAUAUUAAAACCAUGAGAGUAGUGAAGGGGAAGAAUUUGUUGAUGACAAACUAUUUAGUCUAACAAAGGGUAAAGAGAAAGAAAUCCCAGAGGACUAUAAAAAGUAAUCAUUGAUGAACACAAUAGCAGCUAAAUUCAACACAGACGGGUACCAUGGAAAAAAAUAACCAGAAGAAAAUUAGAUACUUUACAUAUGCCAAAUGUUUCCUAAUGGCCUGUAACCUUCCUGCACAAACAUUUACAGUACGUACCUUAUCCUCAGUUUUGCUUUGCAAAGUUUGAGUUACUCAUGGCAAAAUUAGGGUUGCAAAUAUUCGGUGGAAAAUUCCGAAAGUGAACAACUGAAGAGCUGUAACUACUCACUAGAGCUACAUGGUGUAUAGUUGCUCUGCUUUGCCAUUAGUGGUUGUUGCGGGGCUCCUACUAUGCUAAUUGAUGGAUGAAGCUUCAUCAUGUGUACAAACCACCCAGACAGAACGUGAUAGUGGGGGCUCAGUGCGGUUCAUGGCUGCAGGGACGACAGGGUCUUCGAGGGUUCCUAGCAAAUAACGUGGACCACUGAGUGUCCUUUGUGGUCAAUUCUAUGAAAGCAACUACUUUUCAAGUAAACGUGUUGAAAGAAUGGAUGAAAUAUUUGUAGAGUUAAGUGGGAUAGAGAAGCUAUACUGGGGUUUGGUAACAUUCUAAUAAAUUAUUUGUGGGUUCCUGGCUUAAAAGAAAAAUGGAAGAAGAAAUUUCACACUGAUUUACAGGAUUUCCAAAUGAAAUGAUCGCUCCUACUAGUUUUUAACUUGUUCCAAAGGAGGCACCAACACAGAGAAAGGCUGAGAGAAGAAGCAAGGGGUACACGGUGUGUGAGAGAUGUCUCCCUGGGAACAGCAUUUGACAGUUGGAGAAGAGGCUCUGGAAAAAAAGGAGCAUUGUGUGUUCAGGUUCCCCAAAUAAUAGCUUUCCUUCAGCUUGAGACUUAUGUAGGCAGACACAAACACAGCUGUACCUCAAACCACAUCCUUCCUGUCCAGAAAGAACUGCUUGUGUUCAGUGUCCCCACAAAUAAACUCACACCAUCAUGGAUUGUCAUAUACAUGUCUAAGCGAGGGUUAAGGUGAAGUUCUUCCCGAGGCUUAGUGCAUGGAGAAAGAAAAAGCCACACAAACAGAAGCCUGGACGUAUGGUAGAGGGAGGAGCAACUGAAGAUAUAUGUUUAUGCUAUAACAUUAGAGAUUAAAAUUAAAACAUACUUCUUUUAUCUCAAUGUAAUUGAGGUAUUAUUCAGAUAUAACAGAUACCCAAGGCAAUCCACUAACCAGGAGAACACUUACUUUGGCUCUUGCUUUGGGAGGUUUUGUUUCUGAGCAAAUGGUUGCUUGGUUUGGGCUCAUGGUGGCAGGUAUGUCGUGGCAGGAAGUGAGCUGAACAAGCCUGAUUACCUCGCAGGGCUAAGAAGAAAAAAAGCAUAGGUCUGGAGACUUUUGAUCCUUCUCGAGGGCAAUGCUAC